GACGAACGCUGGCGGCGUGCCUAAUACAUGCAAGUCGAACGCACUCUCGUUUAGAUUGAAGGAGCUUGCUCCUGAUUGAUAAACAUUUGAGUGAGUGGCGGACGGGUGAGUAACACGUGGGUAACCUGCCCUAAAGUGGGGGAUAACAUUUGGAAACAGAUGCUAAUACCGCAUAAAACCUAAACACCGCAUGGUGUAGGGUUGAAAGAUGGUUUCGGCUAUCACUUUAGGAUGGACCCGCGGUGCAUUAGUUAGUUGGUGAGGUAAAGGCUCACCAAGACCGUGAUGCAUAGCCGACCUGAGAGGGUAAUCGGCCACACUGGGACUGAGACACGGCCCAGACUCCUACGGGAGGCAGCAGUAGGGAAUCUUCCACAAUGGACGAAAGUCUGAUGGAGCAACGCCGCGUGAGUGAAGAAGGUUUUCGG
rnacentral:rRNA from 1 species